rnacentral:rRNA from 1 species
GCCUGAUCCAGCCAUGCCGCGUGCAGUGAUGACGGUCCUAUGGAUUGUAAACUGCUUUUAUACGAGAAAAAACACUCCUUCGUGAAGGAGCUUGACGGUAUCGUAAGAAUAAGGAUCGGCUAACUCCGUGCCAGCAGCCGCGGUAAUACGGAGGAUCCGAGCGUUAUCCGGAAUCAUUGGGUUUAAAGGGUCCGUAGGCGGUUUAGUAAGUCAGUGGUGAAAGCCCAUCGCUCAACGGUGGAACGGCCAUUGAUACUGCUGAACUUGAAUUAUUAGGAAGUAACUAGAAUAUGUAGUGUAGCGGUGAAAUGCUUAGAGAUUACAUGGAAUACCAAUUGCGAAGGCAGGUUACUACUAAUGGAUUGACGCUGAUGGACGAAAGCGUGGGUAGCGAACAGGAUUAGAUACCCUGGUAGUCCACGCCGUAAACGAUGGAUACUAGCUGUUGGAAGCAAUUUCAGUGGCUAAGCGAAAGUGAUAAGUAUCCCACCUGGGGAGUACGUUCGCAAGAAUGAAACUCACAGGAAUUGACGGGGGCCCGCACAAGCGGUGGAGCAUGUGGUUUAAUUCGAUGAUACGCGAGGAACCUUACCAAGGCUUAAAUGUAAAUUGACCGAUUUGGAAACAGAUCUUUCGC